rnacentral:rRNA from 1 species
ACGGUUCACCCCUGGCCCCGCAAAAAGGGCCGGGCCCGCCGAGGAACCCUCCCCUCUGUUUUUAGUGGAACUUCUGAGUAUAAAAGCCAAAUAAUGAAAAACUUUCAACAACGGAUCUCUUGUUUCUGGCAUCUAUCAAGAACGCAGCAUAAGGGAAUAACUAAUGUGAAUUGCAUAAUUCAUUGAAUCAUCGAAUGUUUGAACGCCAAUUGCGCCCGCCAGCAUUCUGGCGGGCAUGCCUGUUCCAGCGUGGUUUCCACCCUCAAGGCCAUGUUGGAGCUGGGAGUUGGCUUGCUGCUGGACUCCCCGAAUACAUUGGGGGUCACGACGAGCUUCCAUAGAGUAGUAAUUUACACAUCCGUACUGGUAAUCGUCGCGGCCACGCCGGUAAACCCCACCUUCUGAAUGUUGACCUCGGAUCAGGUAGGAAU